rnacentral:rRNA from 1 species
AGUGAACGCUGGCGGUAGGCCUAACACAUGCAAGUCGAACGGCAGCACAGUAAGAGCUUGCUCUUCCGGGUGGCGAGUGGCGGACGGGUGAGGAAUACAUCGGAAUCUACUUUUUCGUGGGGGAUAACGUAGGGAAACUUACGCUAAUACCGCAUACGCCCUACGGGUGAAAGCAGGGGAUCUUCGGACCUUGCGCGAUUGAAUGAGCCGAUGUCGGAUUAGCUAGUUGGCGGGGUAAAGGCCCACCAAGGCGACGAUCCGUAGCUGGUCUGUGAGGAUGAUCAGCCACACUAGAACUGAGACACGGUCCAGACUCCUACGAGAGGCAGCAGUGGGGAAUAUUGGACAAUGGGCGCAAGCCUGAUCCAGCCAUACCGCGUGGGUGAAGAAGGCCUUCGGGUUGUAAAGCCCUUUUGUUGGGAAAGAAAAGCAGCAGGUUAAUACCCCGCUGUUCUGACGGUACCCAAAGAAUAAGCACCGGCUAACUUCGUG